rnacentral:rRNA from 1 species
AUUGAACGCUGGCGGCAUGCCUUACACAUGCAAGUCGAACGGCAGCACGGGUGCUUGCACCUGGUGGCGAGUGGCGAACGGGUGAGUAAUACAUCGGAACGUACCUUAUCGUGGGGAAUAACGCAGCGAAAGCUGUGCUAAUACCGCAUACGCCCUGAGGGGGAAAGCGGGGGAUCGCAAGGCCUCGCGCGAUUAGAGCGGCCGAUGCCUGAUUAGCUAGUUGGUGGGGUAAACGCCCACCAAGGCGACGAUCAGUAGCUGGUCUGAGAGGACGAGCAGCCACACUGGGACUGAGACACGGCCCAGACUCCUACGGGAGGCAGCAGUGGGGAAUUUUGGACAAUGGGGGCAACCCUGAUCCAGCAAUGCCGCGUGAGUGAAGAAGGCCUUCGGGUUGUAAAGCUCUUUUGUCAGGGAAGAAACACCGGCUCUAACACAGUCCGGGAAUGACGGUACCUGAAGAAUAAGCACCGGCUAACUACGUGCCAGCCGCCGCGGUAAGAC